GAGGCUAAAACAAAAUUUCAGAUUUCAAAUCAACAUGGAUUUGUUCGCCGAAAUGAAAUCUAGGAUUAGAUAGAUGGAAAGACUGAAGAAAUAUGGCCGUUUUCGGCUUUUUAUGUCAAAAUAUAACAAUUAUUUUGUAUGGAUGUUCUGCGGGGUUCUUGCAAUAGCACAGAUCGAUUUCAUUUACAAAUCGGUGACUGGCCAAAGGCCUAAAUUGGACAAAGAGGAAGUGGAAAAAGAGAGGGAAGAAAUGGAAAAACUUGUUACAAGCCUGAAAAGAAAUCUACAGAACCUGUUUCAGCAUAAGGAAAGAGAAGAUCCCAAUUAGCUAUGAACAUCAAGAUACAAACUGGUUUAGGCCAACUCGGUUUUAAAGCUUGUUCUUAGAAAUGAAAAGACAGACAUCCUAGUUUGAAAAUUGUAAUUUUUUGUCAGUUGAGUUGUCUAUUAUAGCUGCAAGUCUGUGUGGACAGGCCUAAUCAUUAGAUUCGUGAAAAUUAUGAUUCCUGUUUGCAAUUAAUUUUUUUUCUUUCAAACUUUAGGAAAUGUUAAAUAAUUUAAAAGUCUUGUGUAUGACUAGGAAGUGGGUCUUUAUUUGUGAAAUUUUUUAAUAGAAAAAGACAUGUGUCAUAAAUUUCUUCAUAAAACAAAAUACCUUGC